rnacentral:rRNA from 1 species
UACGGAGGGUGCAAGCAUUAAUCGGAAUGAUUGGGCGUAAAGGGCGCGUAGGCGGAUUAGAAAGUUAGAUGUGAAAUUCUGAAGCUCAACUUCAGAGCGGCAUUUAAAACUCCUAGUCUCGAGGUAUGAAGGAGAAAACGGAAUUCCACGUGUAGCGGUGAAAUGCGUAGAUAUGUGGAAGAACACCGGUGGCGAAAGCGGUUUUCUAUUUAUAACCUGACGCUGAGGCGCGAGAGCAAGGGGAGCAAACAGG